rnacentral:rRNA from 1 species
GAUGAACGCUGGCGGCGUGCCUAUUACAUGCAAGUCGAGCGAAUGGAUUAAGAGCUUGCUCUUAUGAAGUUAGCGGCGGACGGGUGAGUAACACGUGGGUAACCUGCCCAUAAGACUGGGAUAACUCCGGGAAACCGGGGCUAAUACCGGAUAACAUUUUGAACCGCAUGGUUCGAAAUUGAAAGGCGGCUUCGGCUGUCACUUAUGGAUGGACCCGCGUCGCAUUAGGUAGUUGGUGAGGUAACGGCUCACCAAGGGAACGAUGCGUAGCCGACCUGAGAGGGUGAUCGGCCACACUGGGACUGAGACACGGCCCAGACUCCUACGGGAGGCAGCAGUAGGGAAUCUUCCGCAAUGGACGAAAGUCUGACGGAGCAACGCCGCGUGAGUGAUGAAGGCUUUCGGGUCGUAAAACUCUGUUGUUAGGGAAGAACAAGUGCUAGUUGAAUAAGCUGGCACCUUGACGGUACCUAACCAGAAAGCCACGGCUAACUACGUGCCAGCAGCCGCAGUAA